UGCUCUUCGGAUGCUGCCUGACCUGCUGUGGUUUUCCAGCACCACACUCUUGACGCUAAUCUCACUUUUGCCUACAAACCACCUCGGUCUCUACUUGCUACUUGGCAAGUUCUAUACCACUUAAGUAGUGCACGUUCUUCCUUAUUUUUCUUAACUAUUGUCCUACAUUCUGUCUUGUUUGCUACAGAUAAAUUGAAAUGCAAACAAUGAAUGUUUUGAGAACUUGUUUGCUGUUUGAGUGCUUGAGUACUAAAUAUAUUAUACAGUUCACUCCUUUGUCUUUAUUGACCUGGAUAGAUUUAUAAUUUUAGGCUAUAAGCUGUGUUCAUUGCAAAUAUGUUAAUAUCUUGCACUGUACAAGAAAAUAUUUCUCUAUUACCAAAAUAGUUCUGUACAAAAUUUGCACAUCAUCUAGUAAGGAAAAGUUGUUCUUAUAUAUUUAUUAUUACAGUUGAUAUUUUCUGUAUUCAUGAUCUUUUUCAUACUGCCCUUAACUCUACUUGUAAUAGAGAAUUUUUAUGAACUGUGAACACAAUUAUUGCCUUGAACAAAAAGAGUCAUAGACAGUCAUUUGUAUUUCUUCAAUCUCUCAAAAGACUUAAUUGAAUAAUUGAGAUGAGAUUUGAUGGAAACUAUAAGAUGUUUUAUUUACCAUCAAUUGAACAAAAAUUGGAAAAGAUUUUUCUUCCAUCAAUCCAAACCAUUUGAGUGCAACAUUUUCAGAAAGCAGCACUAUGCUGUUUCAGUGUGCCAGACUUCUUGGAACAAUUCUGGAUUGUCAUAAAGCCCAAAGCAGAAUAAUUCCAUUCUUCAUUCAUGUAUCUGCUUCAUUUUGUAGCCCUUUAUUACCCGAAUGCUUGUGAAGCUUCCUGUUAUCUGACAUCACAUCUACUUUUAAAAUCUCAGAUUAAAGGAUUUUUAAAUAAGAUGUAAGAGAUGUGUUUCAGUGAUUAGCAAAAUAAUGGUAAGAAACCGGUGCUACGUAUAAUCUACAAAGAAACAUCAAAGCUACCCACCAUCUCUCUUUCCACUAUUGAUUUGCGAGAAUAACUCUUCCAGAUGUGCUAUUAAAUAGCUUAGAUUUUGUAGUCAGUGGUGAAGCAAUGGCUGUGGUCACUAUCUUUUAUGAUAGCUACCCACAAAGAAAAGGUAAUAAGAUAGAUUCUAUCUCAAUCCAAUAGCUCCAAGAUAAAGAAACUUAAACUGGUCCAUAUGUCUUGUUUCUAUCAGAAUGUGUUCAAUUGCACAAAUAAAAAUAGCUUUUCAAGGUCUGAGUAUUUAACACUAAUUAUGAGAUUAAUGCACCUACUUAACACUUAUUCAUUCAUUCAUUCACAGUGUACAAGUUUUGCAAAGGCUGUUAGUGAGACUAAAAAUGUAACAAUACAAGUUCAUUUUCCGUUCAUGGAAUUCACAUUAAUUGCAGUGUGUGGAUUUAAGAACUCACCUUUUGGAGAAGCAGAUAAUCAAUAGUAUCUUCAGGAUUUGUACAAUAUUCUGUGCAUGUAUGGAGUCCAGAAGUUGCUGUCAAUUCCAGUGGAAUCGUGUUGAUGAAUGCUGACAGUUUUUCAGUCAUUGCUCCUGCAAAAUCUGAGUCAAAACAAUUCCCAAGCUUCCUUCUUCUUUGCAGACUGACCUUUUCAUACUUAGAAAAUGAUUAGAACUGGAUGAAAUCUUUGUAACCAAUAUGCAAAGGCAUAUCUUUUAAGGUUUGCAUAAAGAUUUGUAGCUUGGCUGCCAGUUGCCAUGGUUGUGGGUAUGCUUGCUAAGCUGGGAAGUUGAUUUGCAGACGUUUUGUCCCCUGUCUAGGUGACAUCUUCAGUGCUUUGCAACUUCCUGUGAAGCGCUACUGUACUGGAUCUUUUGGAAUUUAUUUGGUUCCAUUCUUACUGCUUUUGGUUGCUAUUUCCAGCUGUUCGUUGUAGUGGCCGGUAUAUUGGGUCUAGGUCUGUGUUUGUUGAUGGAGUCUAUGGAUAAGUGUUAUGCUGCGAUAAUGUCUCUGGCUGUCCUCCGAUUAGCUUGUUCUAUGAUCAGAACUAACAGUCAGACUUCUCCAACUACUCUAAUUCAUGACAGCCCAUAAACCAACAGCCAGCCUCAGACAACUCACUCGAACGAAUGACCCUAUGCCCAUCUUGUGGAAGACUAAUGUAAUUUAGAAGAUUACAUGCAAAGACUGCAUGAAACAUUAUUUGGAACAAAUAAGCAGAGUACUAGCAAUCCACAUCCACAAACACCAACUAGCCACUAAACGUCACGACAACUGUCGUUAGUAGCCAUACACCAAUGUCAAGGAUCUCCAAUUGGACUGGAACAACACAACGAUCAAUGGAUAAGCUAAACAGAGGACAGCCAGAGAAUUUCGAGAAGCAAGGCACUCAUUCCACAGACUCUAUCAUCAAACACACAAACCUAGACCCAUUAUACCGGCCACUACAACGAACAACCGGAAUCUGCAAUAGGAACGGAAUAAAUUCCAGAAGGCGCAGUACAGCAGCGCUAGUAAUGUUUCAAAUUGCUUUAUACAUCCUCUUUUAGCAAGCAAUAAAAGAUUAAUGUACCUGGAGUGGUAUCUGUUUACUGUAUAUUGUAAUAUCAUUAGACUUCAGGAACAUGUGAUUAUCAUGUUCAUUUUUAUGCAGGAAAAGAAUAGUGUAGGUGGAGCCUAAUGGGUGUGUGCAGGCUUAAUACACUUGUUUAGACUAUAAGGUCUACAAUUUCAUAUUCAUUUGUGUUUCCUCUACUUAAAGAAUUUUCACAUCUGAAAUCUGUUUCUUCUCUAUCCUUUGUAAAAUACAAGACAUUAAAACAAUAAUAGCUUAUAUUUAUGUACUAUCUUUAAGAGAGUUAACCCAUUUCACUUCACACCUGUGGAUAAGAUUUCUGUUUUAUGAUUCUCUUCCAAAUGUGGAUCGCAUUCAUUCCACAAGAUUUCAUCUGACAUCUAGCUGCUCAAAGCUUUUCAUUCUAGGUUAUUGCUUUGUUCAUAAGUAACUCUGAUGAUCCAAAUUGUGAUAGAAACAGAAAUAGAUAAUCAUUAAUGAUUCUAACAUCCAAUUUUGUUGUGUCCUGAAACAGCAGAUGGCAUUGUAACACCUGAUGCAUUUUACAUGAUAAAUGAUUCAACAAAAUUAAAACUCCAAGUACAUACAUAGCACAGCUUUAAAAGUAUUUUUUGUCCCAGAUCUGCUUAGCUAACCAUUUAUCUGUCAUUUGACUGUUUUCUUCAGCCCUUCAAAGUUUUUUGAAAGAAAAUCCACAGGGACGAAUUUUAUCAUUUUCAUGUCAAAUCAAUUUUUGAUCAUGGUUUUAUCAAGAUUGUGUGUGUGUGUAUUGACAGAUAUAGUGAUUUUAUAUAUGAAUGAUUAUUGCUGCUUACAGUUUUGCAAUGUAAUUAUUUUGAUAUGCUGGAAAAACACUGCAGAUUUCUACAGAUCUGCAAAUCACUUUCCAAUUGUAAUGAAUUUCAGAGACGAAAGAGUUAUAUUAAAAUCCACCUGAAUACUCAAUAAGAAAAAAUGCUAAGAAAUUAAUUGCCUGGAUCAGAUAUCAUCCGCAUGGAGUGAAACAUAUGCUGAGCUUUCAGAAUCGCUAAGUUAAUAUUAGGAAGUGACUGCCUUUAACUGCUUUUGUAUGAUUCUCAAGAAUAUGCUACUGCUUUAUGAUAGUAUGCACUUAACUUUACAGUUGAUCUCAGUUUAUUCCAGUUGCUUUUGGCAAUUGUUUACUCAUAAUUUGAAGUUGUUUCCAAUGUCGUGCUUGUGUCAAGCUGUUUAUAAGCUCUGAAAUUAAUCUCUCACUUCUUCAGUCUCGAAGAAGCUCGUUGGUUACCAGCCAAGUCAAUGAAGUGUUCUCCUUAUUUUAAACCUAAAGGUGUCUUUUCAAAGCACUGCUCCUCUAGGAAAGCUCUCAAAGCGUGAGGAAAGCAAAACUGGAGCAAGGAUGUGGGCAAAGCUGGCUAAGUCAGUAUUUAUUGCAUGGUCCUAAUUGUCCAUUUGACAGUCAGAUCAGUUAUCUGAACAAAAUACUCCCCAUCUGUCUCGUUUGGAUAAUCAAGAUAAUUCUGUAGUAUCACUCCAGGAUCAACUUGCUGAAUUACUUGCCCUUGGUGUCAUCUUUCUAGCCGUCUCUGAAGAAGGAAGAAUUGCACUCUGAGCUUUUGGACUGGUAUAAAGGGUGUCAAUAUAAGUUUUUGAAGGUUAGAUUAUACUUGAAUUUUUUGAGACAAUCAUUAACAGCAUGGUAAAGAAACCACGCUGUCAAUGAUCAGAUGUUGCCUUUUUGAAAUUCAAGAAGUGAUUUGAUCUGGGCCUGCACAAGAAAAUACCAAAAUAAACUUAAACUGAGACUUUAGUUCAUUAAUGAUUAACUUGUAUUCUUAAAAACAAACUUUAUGCUUAAUCUUUGAGUUUUCAGAGAAUGGUUGUCUACUUGAUUUUCUUUUUCACAGAUGGGAGAAACAGGCAAGGAGAAUCUUUCAGUUCUUAUCCACAAAUAAAUUUCUUUUGAUCUGCUCUGCUGCUCAUAAACAGCUGUUGAAAAAUUGUUCAGUGUAUAUUCCUGAGCCUAGGUGGUGGGCAUUUCAUCUCUCAAUUUAUGAAAUUAUCAUACAAGUGUGAAUUUCUUGAUGCCUUAAUUUCACAGGUCUCUCCAAGCUUUCGCAACCUGUGGUCAGGUGAUCAUUGCAGCCAUUUCAGGUUCACGUUUCUUUUUAAAAAGUAUUUCGGUCCAUGAAAUAUCUCCAGCAAAACAAUCAGAUGAAAGAAAACAAAAUUUGAUAUUGGUGCAUAUUUGUCACUAUCAUAUGACUACUUUGACAACUAUUGCAGAUAAGAUGGUGGCAGAGUAGGAGGCUCCAACUGGAGCUCCUCUGCUCUGCCUGUUCUUUUUGUUUCUUUUAUUUUUUUCUCUUUUUUUCAGUAGUCCUAGAGCAGCAUGAGGGGGUGCUGGAUUUCUGGAGCGACAUGAGGGGCUGCCAGAGCAGCGGAAGGGGGAACCAGAGCGGUGUGAAGGGAAACCGGAAUGGCGCGAGGGGGAUGUCGGAGUGGCAUGAGGGGGAACCUGAGUACUGGUACAGCACAACUUACCUUGAGUGCUGCUGAGGAGCAGGACAGUUGUUGGAUUUGUGCCUGGUGCCGGCAGUCAGACCAUGUGCUGACCUAUUGCUAUCUGAAGUUCUUUAUUGGACUGUAAUAUAAAUCCUUUAACUUUGUUAUAACUACCUUAUCUCUAACUUUUUUUAGGCGCUAAGUAAUGAUGCUACUUUUCCUUUUCAUUCUCUUUUGUAUCCAAAAUUUGUACCUAGGUACUUGUACCUAAGAUGGCGUCAUUAAAGACCGCCAUUGUAAAAUCUUUUCACUGUACUCCUGUACUGGAGUACAUGUGACAAUAAAGCAUAUUCUAAUAUUGUAAUUUGUACAAGAAUGAUUAGAAGUGGAUGGUUUUUAAACAAAAAAAAACCCCUGAAAAAUUGAGAUAUUUCUGUAGUCAAAGUUUUUUUUAAAAAAAGUAACUUUGGUCAAAUUUAACAAUGAGCACUGAAGGGUCCAAUAAGGGAGACAGAAUGCACAUGCACCAGAACUGUACUACAUUUCACACUGUAGGGUCUCUAAUCUAUUCUAAUCUAAUCCCAUAUUGGCCUAUAAAGCUUCUUUAUAGGCUUUUGGGACAAAUGUCUGAAAUAUUUGCAUCUAGAGAUCCAAUGCCUAAUUGAGAUUCUCUUUGUAAAAUUGAUGUAAACAUCGCACACCAUUCACAUUGCGAUGAAGACCGAAGUUCCUUGGAGGGGAUUCCUGGUGGCUUUAACUGGAAAAAUAAUUCUUGAUGCUAUUUUUAAUUGUAACUCCACUAAUUCCUUUUUAAGGUGUGAUAUUGCUGUUUUCUGCUAAUCCAAGGACAGAAUGGCACAGUCCAUAAGUUUUCUAGUUGUCACUAUCAAUGCCAAGUUGUGUUCGGCCAGAGGGAAAUGCGGUUUCUUAGUUGUCUUAUUCUGGAUCCAGAAGAGUUAGCACCUUCAGAUGAACUCUGACGACAGGUCAUCAGUCUGACUUGAUAACUCUGCUUCUAUCUCCAAACAAGUGAGUCCCAUUACUGUUCAUGAAUUCUGGCAAGCUCAAACUUCUCAAGUUUUAGGAUCAUCUCUGCAACACUUUCUUGCAUUUUCUCCAGAGCUUUAAUUUUGUUUGCAUUGUGGAUACUGGAACUACACAUUACCUGUAUACAUAAAUUUAACAUCACCUUCUUGCUUUAUGUUUCACUCUUUUAAAUUCAUUCCUUCUACCCAGUUCAACACCAGCUCCUCCACAUCACUUCUCCCAAAAUAAAAUAAGUUACACUUAUUUCAACUGAAAAGUGAUAUGAUAAGAUACAAAUGAAGAUUUGCAAAAUUAUUUUUCAUCUAAAAAAGUUAGUGAUUCUUUCUAUUAACUGAGAGUUUGAAUUUCAUUUUAGAGAAACAUUACUGCAGUAGAACAGUUGGGUAUUCCUUAUUGUGGGUUUUUUUAAAAUCAUUAAUUUACACUCUUCCAUGUAUCUACAGGUCUCAUAGAUAAAUCUUAAUACUAGAGAAGAGGUGCACAUACAAGACCAGAAAGUAUUCUUAUUUGGUUUUAAAUAAGUCUUCCAUGGAGCCCUAUGCUCAUUGUGAGAGAAACAGGGGCACUGCUGUAGAUAUCACUUACAAUUGCAAGCAGUGCUAUUAAUUGUAAGUUAGUGCACAGUAAUUAUAAUGUGAAAGUUAUUUAUUGUAAGCAUCCACUGUUGGCAAAACAAAACUAGCUUUUAAUUGCCUCCUCUGAGUCUGAAUCCUGCAGAUCUUAGAGCUAGAUAUAAUUUGAUUUAUUCAUUUCAUUAUGAUUGAGCAUUACAGGUAGAGGUUGCUUCUAUAAAGAAUUUUCGAGGAGAGAAUCAGAUAUUACAUUGUCUUAAAGACUACAGUACAAGUUCAAUUUUCGACCAGGUGGAUCAGAUUAGUCUUUAUCUGCUUGCAAGGUUAUUAGUUUUAUUUUAGAGGCUGAUAUUUUAAUCUACAGCAGAAAACUGGACUCAGAACUUUGAUACCAUCAUAAUCGUUGAUAUUUUGGGCGUGUAGAGAUGGUAUAGGGGAGACUCAGCUAAAGGUAAUGUCUUUAGCUGAGUUUCUGGAUUAACAGUCUCAUGUACAAAUCCCACCAUGGCAGAUGGUACAGUUUGAAUUCAAUAAAGAAUAUCUGGAAUUAAGAAAUCUACCAAUGAUGUUGAAUUCUAUUGUUGAUUGUCGGAAAAACUAAUCU